UGAACCACCUCUCCCAUUUCGCCCCUCCCCUCCCCUCACCAACGGUACGGCUCCGUCUCGCCGUGGCGUCUCCCCGACUCUGCUCGACGGAGACGGCAAGGCCCCGUGGUCAGAACCGGCGGCGCCAAGGCUAGAUCCAAUGGCCCUGGGGUCAGAACCGGCAUCGGCGGUGAGACAUCUGCGAGCUCGCCGCCGCGGCCCCCAGUCCACGGCUGAUCGACUCGUCCGGCGACGACGACGAGGGUGCCAAGUUUUGCCUCUGACGAUCCAAGGCGCUUCGCGACCAUCCAGGGGUGGCGGCGAGGCGUACAAGGUGAGGGUCCCGAACUCCCGAUGUACCCGGCAGUGACCCAUUCGCCAAAUCUGGUGGCCCGGCGUGCGCUCCAGCUCACUUUGGCAUCGCAGCAAAGAGCUCCUUACCACGCCUCUCGCCCGUCUCAUAAGGUCUCCAUCCGGCAGCGCGCGGCGUAUCUGGCGCGGAGCAACACGGCCCAGAUCCGGUGACAGGCGGCCUGGCGUCUGGCAGCUCGUCCGCCGGCAGGCCGAGGCGAGGGGCGCGGCCUCCUCGCUCUCCCUUUCACGAUCUGCUCGCGCGCGCUUCCUGCGAUGGCGCGGCGGUGCCGCUGGCAUGGCUCGCGAUGCAUCGCUGCCCCGGCCCAUUCCCGACGCCUCCUCGCCUCCGCCACGCGCCGCGCCUGGCCCCCAGCCCAUUCCCGACGCCUCCUCGCCUACGCGGCAUUCCAUUGAGCACCUCGCCGGCGCGGACGCCCACCGCCGCCCACGCACCGCCGGGGCUCCCCGCCGGGACGCCAUGGGCUCCAGGAUGCUUGGAAUUGUAGUGAAAUGGGAGUAUGAAGCAGGUGGAAUCAGUAAUCAGUGCUACUGCUUGCCUGAUGCUACUCUAUUCGCGGAGGAAAAAAUUGCUGAGAGAAAGGGAGAAAACUUUCUUGGUGCUUGCCGAUUUGAGAAAUGAGAAGAGCAUAGAGCCGCUUCGUGUUGUGCUUUGCUGGUGAAGAAUAGAGAUCUACACAAGGUGUCCUACCGUAGCUAGGCAACACCCCUCGAAAUUUGACUCUGUCUGCUCCGCCUCCCGCCGUCCUUACUUCCUUGAUCUCCGGUGGUUCCUUAGAUUCUUGAUCUAGCGGCACCGUUGCAAAUGGUGGCGCGCUCCCUUGCUCGUGGAGCAGGUAUAUGAAGUACAAUUCCGUGUCGAAGUUCGAAUCACAUGAACAUGUACUUUAAGCAUUGUUUUGAUUAGGUCCAUACUUCUAAAAUAGACACUGGCCUCAUGAUCAACAUGACCAUGUACAUUUUUGUUUGGAUGUGGCUUUGAUUCUUAAAUAAAUUUGCACAUGAUCUUUUAUAUUA